rnacentral:rRNA from 1 species
GUGCCAGCCGCCGCGGUAAUACAGAGGGGGCAAGCGUUAUUCGGAAUUAUUGGGCGUAAAGGGCGCGUAGGCGGCUUUGCAAGUGACGGGUGAAAUCCCUCGGCUUAACCGAGGAACUGCCUGUCAGACUGCAUGGCUCGAGACCAGGAGAGGUGAGUGGAAUUCCCAGUGUAGCGGUGAAAUGCGUAGAUAUUGGGAGGAACACCAGUGGCGAAGGCGGCUCACUGGACUGGUACUGACGCUGAUGCGCGAAAGCGUGGGGAGCAAACAGGAUUAGAUACCCUGGUAGUCC